UCCUAGGAAGCAGGUCUGUUUUUUUUCUGGGAAAAAGAUACGAAAACUGCUUGUUGGUUUCUGUCUGAUGUCACUUUUGUGAACUGCCAAUUUUGUGAACCUCUCCUGUUGGAAGGAUGGAUAGUAUGUGAGAGAGGUGAGGUCCAGCACAUGAAAAUAGAAAAGGAUGCUUGAAUGUGCAACUUCAAUCAUCAUGGCUGCUUUCCCUGAAAGACCAAAUCUCACUCAGGGCUACAGGAGCAAACUAAGCCAGCGGUGCACUGCCUGGAGGAUGACUAUGUGAUACAGCACCAGACUACAGAGAUGGGAUGAAAGGCUGUUGAAAUGUCAGAUGGUAAAAACAAGCAAGAGUUCCAGAUGGGGCAAGUGGAAAAGAAACGUGACAAAGAUGGUAAUGGGAAAGCUUCAGAUUCUCACUUGACUGGGAGUCCCAUGACUUCACCUGUGACUUCCAAACCCACUCUCUGUGCAAGCUCUUGUACAAAGCAGCAUCCCUUACAUGAAGUUCUUCAUUAUCAGGGACUGAUGAUUGAAAUAAUUAGAAGGAGCAAGUCAUGAUGCUCACAGCCUCCCUAUCUGCCGGUCUGCAAAUGGAACUUCACCUCACUGAGCCACUUCCCAGUACAACAAACCUCACUGGCAACUAUUGACUGUGUUGGCCACUUCACCAUCCCAGAGAAAUCUGGAAAACUUUCCAGGCAUGUUUGAACUAAAGAGAUGGGGGAAUGCCAACAGAGCCCUGGUUUGUCACAGUAGGAGUGAUCUGGCUACUCUUCCUUUCUCAAAGGUCAUUCAUGUUUGCCUUUUCCCAGCAGUAUGUGUG